rnacentral:tRNA from 1 species
GCCCUUGUAGCUCAACUGGACAGAGCAGCGAUUUCCUAGGUCGCCGGUUGUAGGCUCGAAUCCUACCAAGGGCG